UGGGACUAUUGUCCUUUGUUCAUUCUCUUUGCUGUCUGAUGCUAGAGAGAGAGGGAGCCAAUCAGACAGCAGAGAGAAUAAACAAAGGACAAUAGUUCUA